GAUGAACGCUGACAGAAUGCUUAACACAUGCAAGUCGAUGGGGAAGUGGUGCUUGCACCAUGGCAACCAUGGCGGACGGGUGAGUAACGCGUAAGGGACUUACCUGCAGGACUGGGAUAACAGGGGGAAACUCCUGACAAGACCGGAUAAUGUCAUGGAGCUGCAUGGCUUUAUGAUGAAAGGAGACGCCUGCGGAGAGCCUUGCGUCCUAUUAGCUAGUUGGUGAGGUAAUGGCUCACCAAGGCGAAGAUAGGUAGCCGGCCUGAGAGGGUGGACGGCCACGAGGGGAAUGAGAGACGGCCCUUACUCCUACGGGAGGCAGCAGUGGGGAAUAUUGGACAAUGGGGGCAACCCUGAUCCAGCAAUUCUGUGUGCACGAAGAAGGUUUUCGGAUUGUAAAGUGCUUUCAGCAGGGAAGAAGUAAGUGACGGUACCUGCAGAAGAAGCGACGGCUAAAUACGUG
rnacentral:rRNA from 1 species